UUAAUUGAAGCCAAAGAGAGGCAUACCACUGUUAAUGGUAUUAUUGAAUAAUAUAAAUUCCAAUUAAA
rnacentral:tRNA from 1 species